rnacentral:tRNA from 1 species
AGUUAUUCGUUUUUGGAAACACUAGGUUUUGAAAGCCUAAUAUAAAUGUUCGAAUCAUUUAAUAACUU